AUUGAACGCUGGCGGCAGGCCUAACACAUGCAAGUCGAGCGGGGUUUUCGGACCUAGCGGCGGACGGGUGAGUAAUGCGUAGGAAGCUGCCCGAUAGAAGGGGAUACCAGUUGGAAACGACUGUUAAUAUCGCAUAAUGUCUACGGACCAAAGUGUGGGACCUUCGGGCCACAUGCUAUCGGAUGCGCCUACGUGGGAUUAGCUAGUUGGUGAGGUAAUGGCUCACCAAGGCGACGAUCGCUAGCUGGUUUGAGAGGAUGAUCAGCCACACUGGAACUGAGACACGGUCCAGACUCCUACGGGAGGCAGCAGUGGGGAAUAUUGGACAAUGGGCGCAAGCCUGAUCCAGCCAUGCCGCGUGUGUGAAGAAGGCCUUCGGGUUGUAAAGCACUUUCAGCGAGGAGGAAGGGGUGUGUGUUAAUAGUACACACCUUUGACGUUACUCGCAGAAGAAGCACCGGCUAACUCUGUGCCAGCCGCCGCAGUAAGAC
rnacentral:rRNA from 1 species